UACGUAGGGUGCGAGCGUUAAUCGGAAUUACUGGGCGUAAAGCGUGCGCAGGCGGUUCGUUAAGUUCGUUGUGAAAGCCCCGGGCUCAACCUGGGAACUGCAAUGGAAACUGGCGGGCUUGAGUGUGGCAGAGGGGGGUGGAAUUCCGCGUGUAGCAGUGAAAUGCGUAGAGAUGCGGAGGAACACCGAUGGCGAAGGCAGCCUCCUGGGCUAGUACUGACGCUCAUGCACGAAAGCGUGGGGAGCAAACAGG
rnacentral:rRNA from 1 species